GAUCCUGGCUCAGGAUGAACGCUGGCGGCGUGCUUAACACAUGCAAGUCGAACGGAACUGUUUGGAUGAAGUUUUCGGAUGGAUUUUAAACAGUUUAGUGGCGGACGGGUGAGUAACGCGUGGGUAACCUGCCUCACACUGGGGGAUAACAGUUAGAAAUAGCUGCUAAUACCGCAUAAGCGCACAGCUCCGCAUGGAGCAGUGUGAAAAACUCCGGUGGUGUGAGAUGGACCCGCGU
rnacentral:rRNA from 1 species